GGAGGAGGAGGAGGAGGAGGAGCAGGUCCCGCCACCGGGAUGCUCCGCGCCGGGCCGUGCCGUGCCGGGGGAGCCGGAGGAUGGAGCGGGUGCCGCGGCUCAGAGCUGGACAGGCGCUAUGUGUAGGGACCUUCUCUGGAAGAAAUGGGUCAUUCCCAGAGUGAAAAGAAGUUGCACAAGAUGAGCCAAAUGGUGCCAAUGGCUGCACUGGAGUUACUGGUACAGCACUGGCAUAGAUCAGCCCCAGCACCAAGCCUGGGCUUUGAUCAGGACUUUUCUGCAAGAAGAAACAUCACUGGACAAUAAAUUUGCCUCUGCACUUGCCAGCUGUGUCCAUUUCCUCACAGCUACCAUGGAUGACACCACUGUGACAGACUCACGUUCAUGCCACAGCCUCCCUAUCCAAGCAGUCACUCAGUCCAGCCCAGAGAAUUUCAGAAUGGUUUUGGAAGGAACCUUAAAGAUCAUCUUGUUCCACCCCCUGCCAUGGGUAGGGACUCUUCCCAUUACACCACGUUGCUCAAAUCCCCAUCCAGCCUUACCUCAAACACUUCCAAAACAACUACUGCCAUCUCCCACUGAUACUAAAGGUGAAUCAAAGGCUCAGACAGUGCCAAAAACAAAGCAAAGUGCAGUGGGAACAUACUCAUUUUAACAGCAUUUGAAGAUCCUGGGCAAUUCCCUGCUCCCCUGUGAUCUGUAAGAUGUCUAAUGAAUAUUUUACCUGGUCAUGUCACUGCUGGAAGGACACAGGGAGUUCCCCUCCCUCUGGUUGCUCCAUGAAGAUUCUACAGAGGAUUUUGCACCAGGCUUUGUCCUCUUCCCUCUUAGGCAGGGGGAAUGGAGGCACACUGCUUUUGGCAUCCACCUGGAUCAGUAUCUCUCUAAAAUUUUAACAAACUGGGUCUUGGCAAGCCUGAGACUCAGCUAGCACAUGUCAGUGCAGCAGCCUCAGAUCAGUUAUUCCCUUGACUUGGAUCACCUGGCUGCAUUUGGUGCUCAGUCUGUACAAACAUGGGCACACAUGGCUCCCCUGGUCUUUGCAGCUUGAGAAAAGAUCAUUCAUGGCCACAUGUUUACUUCAAAUUAUCUCUGAAGCUCUGCUUCUUUUAUUGAGAAGUCAAAUGAAACUCCAACUAAUUUCAGAUUUGAAUUUUCUAGGACAAUAGGAAGGCACUAGGAUUUAAUUGAUUUUGAUUACCUGCCUUAUUAUUAUGCUGUCAGUAGCAGUAGUUCAGGUUGGUGUAAUUUUAAAUUUACUGUGAGGUGAAUCUGACAUUUCUCUACUGCUGAAUCGAGGACUUGAGCAAUUCUUCAGCUCUUCACAAAGAUGUCAUAAUUAAUUCAGUAAUAUCCCUUCUAUAAGCAGAGAUAGAAAAGGAAGACACAGAAGCACCUACUCCAUGCCUAAAAGCUGAAUGAAUGACAGCAUCACUCACGCCAGUCUCUGUGAAAUUUACUCUAUUUUUUCCUAACAAUCAAGACAAUUUCUGCUGCAAAGACACAUCUUCCCCUCUCCUGUCAGCACAAAAGCAGGACUUAGUAGCAGGCAAUUAUAUAUACAGCCAAAAGAUCAGCUGUGUUUCCUCAGCUGGAUCCAAGAAGUGUUUCCAUCCCCUAAUCAGCUCUGAGGAAAUUCUUCCACAAUCCAAGUGUAGCUGCUUUUCUUUGCCCACCUUCCAAGGGGGCAGAAGUGCAGGGAAGCAGAUUCCCCUGCCAGUGUAACCAGCACUGCUCUGCUGGCUCAAAGGGACCUCCAUCAGGAAGGAGAGAAGAUGUUCCAUCUCACCCCAUCCCAUCUCCUUCCUCCUGCCAUGGAAGCAGGAGAAAUCACCUCCCCUCCUUGUCUGGAGAGGAGUUUUCCCCUCUGCCAGGGAUGCCUGGUCAGGAAUCACUGCCCAGCUGACUCACACAGUGUUUCAGUGCAGCAGAAAUUAAACAGACCAAAGUCUCUAUUGACAGGGAUAUUAUUUGAGAAGAUAAGAUUUUAAAUGUGUUCUGCAAAAGAUAAAGCCUGGACAGGCAGACAAUAGAAGAGCAGCUUUUCCCUUUUAUUUUAGUUUUUUGAAAGCAGGAUUGCCUGACAUAUUCAGUGCUGUAACAAAUAUGUGGUUUUGAACGGUUUAGAGCAAUUGGAAAUAUAAAACCCCAGAAUAUUAGCAUUUACUUUAACUAUCUCACAGAAUUAGAAAAAAAAAAAAUCAGUUCCUUCAUUCCAAAGCUGUUAUGUCUCCUCAAAUCAAGUGUUAAAGAAAAAUGAAUUAAAUUAUUGUGCCCUUUUGAAUUCAAGCACAUUCAAAAGAUGUGUGUAGAAAAGCACCAGCCCUCCCAGGCUGCAUAUACCUCCACAGGUGCUGCAUUUCUAAACACAGCAUGCAGCAGGUAUUUUCAAAAAAUAAAAUGAACCCAAAAUGUUCUGCAUUUGUACCUGAGAAGUUUCAGAUGUGAGGAGCUGCAUCCUGGGCUAGGUUUUAUCCUCAGCCUGGCCCACUCAGCUGCCUCCAGCAGAUACAGACUGUCAAAAGCUCUCCCAGCCAUUGGCUUGUCACAGCAAAUGAAGAUGAGUAGCUCCAGUUUCUGGACCCUGUUCAAGCCUCCCAGUGGUUGGCCAGCCUCAGAGGGACCAGAUGCCUUCAGAGGCUAAUCCUACCUCCAUCUAAAAUGCAGACAGAUCUUUCUCUUUCUGUACUAGAAUACUAUUUUUCACCUCUAUCUUCCAAUUCAUUAUACAAGAAAAUUUGUUGUUAUUUUAAUUUAUUUUUUUUUUUACAUUUGAGAAAAACUCUUUAAAACCUUCUGAAACAAGCUGGGGAAGAGAAGAAAAAAUGAAGUUCAUUUUCUUACAUAUCUGUGCUCUUUACUCCCUACGCUCUCCCCACAUCCCCAGCCAAAUUCCACCAUGUCCCCUUGGACACCCCCAGCUUGACCAGAGGCAGCACAUGCUGGAGCUGUCACAAUGGACCAGCUCACCAACCCUUGGCCAUCAAACCCACUCCUUUCUGCUUCUCUGGAAAUGAUCCUCUGCCAGCUGACAAAAUCUGUAGAAGCAUAACUGUCUUUGAGACAGCUACCCUGCUCUCAAAUGUGAUUGAAAUUGGCCAACCUGUUAAAAAGUGAUGGUGGUGGAAGAGAGACUGGCGAGGAGACAGAUGGCAGACAGCUCAGCUUUAGCCUCCACUGAGCUGAUUGAGAAGUGGGAAUGCUUUCACCCUCUCGUGAAAAAUGAUAUCACUCUUUCACUGAAAUUCAAAACUUAGUUUCCUGACAUUAAAAAUGUGACUUUUCCAAGUGGUCAAAAUUAGGAUGAAAAAAAAAAAAAAGAUGCCUUGACAAAGCAGCACUUGGUGCUUUGCCAAGGGAUGAAGUCAUUCUAAAGAAUUAAAAUGCAGCUGGAGGAAGGACAGGAUAAUCAGAACGAUAAAACAUAACCCAGCCAGGAGCCCGGCGGGGCCCACACGUGCUCGUGCUGAGCAGUGGUGUCCCAGCAGGAGCAGCAAGUGGAGUGCUAAACCCUUGCAUUUGCAUGAGCACAAACCUGAGUUUUUACUACCAAAUCCAUGGGCAGACUCAUCUGGGCCAAGCUGACCAAGUGCUGGCACCAAGACCGAUGGCCCCGUGGCCUCUGCCCGAGUUCAGGGCAGCAGCUCCAUGGUGGAGUGUGCUGAGCUCACACGGGGUCACAGGCAAGCCUGCCUGCAGGAAUGGAACAAACCUUGGGCUGGUUAGCCCUGAAUCAACCUGGGAAAACCCACCUGAGGCUGAGGACACUCCCACAAGGCCAGGAUGAUGCUGUAGGAACAGCAGAGCAAGUGUGAUGCUCCCAGCAGUGCCCAAGUCCCCCAGAGCCAUCACCGGCAUCCCUCGGCACCGGGGGCUGGGGAGGAGAAGGGUGACUUGGUGGGGGAGCUGAGGCUGCUUGGUUGGGCAAGGAGAAUUUGAACUGGUUUUCAGAAAUUGCACGGGGUGAAACAGUGUUAGGGUAACCGAGCCAGGAAAAUGCUGCCCUGGCACCCACCUGAGCUCCCAAAUCCCUGAGCAGGCAGUGCCUGGCUCUGCAGACCCCCUUCUGUGCCUGGAGGAGCUGCUGGGGGACUGCUGCCACCCAGAGCAAACCCCAGCCCACCCUGCAGCCCUGCCAGCUGAGGCAGGUCACCCACAAACAUCAGCCCUUAGCAAAACAUGUAUUUCACCCCUAGUUUACACCAAGGUGGGGGAGUUUUUCCAAACUCCCUCGUUUUUCUCUGAACCUCCCAGCAUAUCCCAUUUCUCCACUGUCUUUAAGAUGGCCCCCUGGGCUGGGUUUGCUGUGUCCUCAGACAUGUCUUGUAUCAACUGCCUUUUCUGAGGUUUCCAAGCACUGAAGCCACCACUGCCAGAAAAAGAAACUCUAUUUCAGGGCUGGUCCUGGAAAGCCAACCCUGUGGGUGCCAGCAGGGCUGCAGAAAUUGUGGUUUCUCAUGUCUCCCUCAAAUCUGGCACUGCUAUUCUGAGAGGAGCAAACUAACCCCAGUUCAAAGUCAAAAUUCCAAUCUGGGAAUUUUUUUAGCUUCUAUCGUUCUCCAUCUUAAUGUGGGCAGCAAUUACAACUGCAACCUGCCAGAAGUAAACCACUCACAAAUACGUCAUGACCAAAGGUGGAUGCAAACAAAAGCAGCCACCAGACACAGACACACCCUUUGUUGGCCUAAUUUCACCUCUCCACCUCAUCAUUAGAGCUCUUACCUUUGUUUCCACCAAGUGGCCACCCCAACUUUGAUGGGGGCAUCCCAGGCUGGUGUCUGCAGACAGCAGGGACACUGGUGGCACUGGCUCCGUGUGCCACCACAUCACUGGUGUGCAGGAGAACUGCUGAAGCCAGGGUCCCACCACAGAGGGGGCUGGGGGGCUUCUCUCCCACCUCCUGCCAGGGCUGGAUGAGACAGCAGGGAAGGACAGAUGUCAAAGGCACAGCCAGCACUUUUCCUUCCCCACACAGAGUUGGCUGGAUGGCUCUGUGCAGAGGGAAGCAGAGACAUGAGGGUGAUGCUUUAGGAUUUAGCUUUUCUAUUUUUCAGGUCCUGUACUGCUUUAGUGUGUAACUCUAAAACUCCAUAGCCUGUCAGCUGCUGUUCUCCCCUUUUGUUCAGACAAACAAUUCCUCUCUAGGCCUGAAACUCAAGGACACCUCAUUGUCUCAGACCUGAGAGAUGCAAAUAACAGUGAAUUGGGGGGCAAACUUGGAGUAAAUCACUUCAUUACCUGAAACUGUAAAUGGAGAAUUAACCCCUGAUAUGUAAAUAGACCGAACUUGUAACUGUAUGAAAAUCUUGUGACUUAUUUCCAUCUUGGGUGUAGCCCCUCAGAGGCUUUGACUGCCCAAGGUGUCCCUAGUGAAGGCCUUCAAUAAAUACCCAAUUUUAUUCUCUU
ensembl:lncRNA